ensembl:lncRNA
UGCAGUGUUGUUUGGAGCAAGGCCACAGGCUCUCUCAGGGAAGGAAGUGCUGAAGCAGCUGUAAAAGUUUCAAAUUGAAGACCAAGAAUCCAGAGGCAGUAUUUAAAAAAAAUAUACAAAUUGCUUCAGAGCUGGUGUCUCCUGGGCUUGGACAAAGUGUCAGGCAUCCGUCUUUGUCAUCACAAUCCGGGUGUCUGCCCUGUGUGCUGGGUACCUUGCAGAGCCGGCAGAUCAGCCCCGGGCAUGCCCUCUGGGUACUUGGCCUGAAGAGGGGACUGUAGAGACUACUCCGAACUAGACAGUGGAGAUAAAAGAGGGGCAGAAUCAGGUAAAGUGGUCAUGUAUGGAUGUGAGAGUUGGACUAUGAAGAAAGCUGAGCACCGAAGAAUUGAUGCUUUUGAACUGAAGUGCUGGAGAAGACUCUUGAGAGUCCCUUGGACUGCAAAGAGAUCUAACCAGUCCAUCCUAAAGGAGAUCAGUCUUGAAUAUUCAUUGGAAGGACUGAUGCUGAAGCUGAAGCUGAAGCUGAAGGUCCAAUAUGUUGGCCAUUAAUGGGAAGAACUGACUCCUUGGAAAAGACCCUGGUGCUGAAAGGUUGAAGGCAGGAGGAGAAGCGGAUGACAGAGGAUGGGAUGGUUGGAUGGCAUCACCAGCUCAAUGGACAUGAGUUUGAGCAAGCUCUGGGAGUUGGUGAUGGACAGACAGGGAAGCCUGGAGUGCUGCAGUCCUUGGGGUCACAAAGAGUUGGACACAACUGAGCGACUGAUCUAAACUGUUCUGUGUAAUCUGUCCAUUAAGUGUUUUACAUAGUGAUUUUAUUUUUUAAUCUAUGAAAUUUCUAUUUGGUUUUUAUUAUAUUGUGAUUUUUUGUAUGGUGUCCUGUUUUUCCAUAAAGUAUCUAUUCUUUAAAAAAUUUGAG